AAUCUCAGUUCGGAUUGUAGGCUGCAACUCGCCUACAUGAAGUUGGAAUCGCUAGUAAUCGCGAAUCAGAAUGUCGCGGUGAAUACGUUCCCGGGUCUUGUACACACCGCCCGUCACACCAUGGGAGUCGGAAAUGCCCGAAGUCUGUGACCCAACCUUAGGGAGGGAGCAGCCGAAGGCAGGUCGGAUGACUGGGGUGAAGUCGUAACAAGGUAAC
rnacentral:rRNA from 1 species